CAGCAGCCGCGGUAAUACAGAGGGUGCGAGCGUUAAUCGGAUUUACUGGGCGUAAAGCGUACGUAGGCGGCUUCUUAAGUCGGAUGUGAAAUCCCUGAGCUUAACUUAGGAAUUGCAUUCGAUACUGGGAAGCUAGAGUAUGGGAGAGGAUGGUAGAAUUCCAGGUGUAGCGGUGAAAUGCGUAGAGAUCUGGAGGAAUACCGAUGGCGAAGGCAGCCAUCUGGCCUAAUACUGACGCUGAGGUACGAAAGCAUGGGGAGCAAACAGGAUUAGAUACCCCCGUAGUCCCUGUCUAUUAUAC
rnacentral:rRNA from 1 species